UUAGAGAUAGUGUAUGAAGGAGAAAACAGAUGGAGAGACAAUAGAUGGAAAUGCAAGGUUAAAGUAUGAUGAAAAUGAUAGUAUAUGACAGCCGCCAAUCAAAAACCGUCAUUGUCAUCAUAUUAGAAGUCGCAACUGUCUGUUAUGGCAAUUGCAUUUUUUCAUUGUUUACUCACAAGCCGAUAAAAUGAAAACAUUACAGAACCUUUUGUUUUUUAAAGAAUUUAUUAAAGAAAACUAUUUUUUUCUCAAAUUA